CAGAACGUAUUGAUGAGGAAAGUAAGUUUCGUCACCGGGACAGUGAGUCUGGAACAGUGUAAACCAGAUCCGAGUGGACUUAACUGAAAAAUGGCCUCUAAACGGCACCACUGAGCUUACGCCAGGUGAUGACAGUCAGCUACUGUUAACCAGCUACCGUAUGAAACGUACGGGAUAAGAUCAAUAUCGUGAGGUAUUGGUAAACUAAGGUGGUACCACGAACGGCAACUUCGUCCUUUUA
rnacentral:ncRNA from 1 species